UUUUUUUAUGCGUCAGUAUACAUCGCGUCUGCUACCUCAUUGACCCAUGUCUUUUGAGUACCUUCGUUUCCUCGGCGGGUCCGCCCGCCGAUUGGACAACAUUCAAACCCUUUGCAGUUGCAAUCAGCGUCUGAAAAAACAUAAUAGUUACAACUUUCAACAACGGAUCUCUUGGUUCUGGCAUCGAUGAAGAACGCAGCGAAAUGCGAUAAGUAGUGUGAAUUGCAGAAUUCAGUGAAUCAUCGAAUCUUUGAACGCACAUUGCGCCCCUUGGUAUUCCAUGGGGCAUGCCUGUUCGAGCGUCAUUUGUACCUUCAAGCUCUGCUUGGUGUUGGGUGUUUGUCUCGCCUCUGCGUGUAGACUCGCCUUAAAACAAUUGGCAGCCGGCGUAUUGAUUUCGGAGCGCAGUACAUCUCGCGCUUUGCACUCAUAACGACGACGUCCAAAAGUACAUUUUUACACUCUUGACCUCGGAUCAGGUAGGGAUACCCGCUGAACUUAAGCAUAUCAAAAGCGGGGAGGGAAA
rnacentral:rRNA from 1 species